AACAGUGGCGAAUGGGUGAGUAACACGUAAGUAACCUGCCCCCAAGUAGGGGAUAACCUCGGGAAACUGGGGCUAAUACCUUAUGUGCUGGCAAAGGUAAUGCAUUGUCAGUAAAGUCUUCGGAUGCUUGGGGAGGGGCUUGUGGCCGAUUAGCUAGUUGGUAGGGUAAUGGUUUACCAAGGCGAAGAUCGGUAGCUGGUUUGAGAGGAUGGUCAGCCACACUGGGACUGAGACACGGCCCAG
rnacentral:rRNA from 1 species